UGAUGCAAAGGGUGAAACAGUCGCAAAUUUCAUGUUUACAUGAAAAUUUGUGACUUUGAACCCUGCAAAACAUGAGAAAGGAGCCAUUUUCAUAGAAAAUGUGCGGAUUUCGAAUGUUUUAGAAUUGCGAGAGCAUAGAAUGCGGAGCAAUUCGUAGCAUCA
rnacentral:sRNA from 1 species